CGGCCGCGGUCAUCCCAGCUCCAGCUUCUCCGACUUUGACGGAAUUCUGCACCUACAGAAUUGGCGCUAGAGGAAGGGCCUGCUGUGUCUUCGCAGUACCUUUAUUCUUAAAGGAGUGCUCAACGGGACUGAUUCCGGUCAUCUUCUCCGACAUCCUCUUCUCCUUCUCCUACUAGAUCUUCACCCGAUGCCUCCCCGCAAAGCAUCCACCAGGCGAUCCACGGCCUUCGCAGCC
rnacentral:lncRNA from 1 species